CGCCGAGCCCUGCCUGGCACCCACACCCAUUGCGCAGCACCCGGGAGCCGCUGGCCAAUCAGAGUGUGCCUCGCCUCUACGCCCAGACUCCGCCGCUCACCGUCUGCUUUUCCGGGCGUUAAUAGCUCACAAUAGUCGGCGCGGGGCCUUUACCUUCACGGUAGUCCACAAGUCGUCACCCAUAGAAAUGGCCUGGGACGGCUUCGAGUCCCUCCAAAGUGACGGGAAGCGCCGGGUGGAGAGGAGGCGGGAGUUGAGGAAGACUGUAAUUUCCGAGAAAAAAACCUUCACCCUCUAGCCUCCUCCGCACGCAUUUCAGGAUAAAACCUUCCUAGACUGCGUUAAUAGUAGAUGUUAUGUAGCGAAGUUACUUUUCCUUUUAAAUGGUAACAGUUUCUUCGUCGUGAGGUAACGCGGGGUCCGUUGCAUACCCAGAAUCCCCGCGGGCCCUCCUGGCGUGUUUCCGGUCGCCGUGGUCGCGCCUGUGGGGACGCUUCUUUCAGCCCCCGUCCCCGGCGGGAUGCACACAAGAUGCCCGUUUUCCUUCGCAAAGAAGUAGUUUACUGGUAUUUUGUGACUUUUUUAAGAAGAAAAACUUAAAAAAAAAAAAAAGCCUGCUCCCAGCAAAACUGCCCAAUACUUUUUGGCAUCUCUUAAAUUUUGCAUUAAAGGCAGAUAUUUCACUCACCUGGCUUCUUCACUCUAGUCCUGGCCCUGCCACAAGGAGUCAGCUUACUUCAGAGAUUACUAUGGUGUCUGUCAAAGUAAGUGCUUGAUAAAUAUUUUCAAAAUGAAUAGAUUUAUGAGUAAAUUGAAUCACUGUUAGUCACUGAGAUAUAUGAUAAAGCUACUUUCAUUUCUUUCUUUCUCUCUCUCUCUCUCUCUCUCUCUCUUUCUUUCUUUCUUUCUUUCUUGUCUUUCUUGUCUUUCUUGUCUUUCUUGUCUUUUGUCUUUCUAGGGCCGCACCUGAGGCAUAUGGAGGUUCCCAGGCUAGGGGUCUAAUCAAAGCUGUAGCUGCCGGCCUACACCAGAGCCACAGCAACGCUAGAUCCGAGCCACGUCUGUGACCUACACCACAGCUCACGGCAACGCUGGAUCCUUAACCCACUGAGAAAGGCCAGGGAUCGAACCUGCAACCUCAUGGUUUCUAGUUGGAUUUGUUAACCACUGAGCCAUGAUGGGAACUCCUCAUUUCUCCCAUUUUAAUAUACAAAAGUACGCAUUUUAUAAACACAUGUUAAACAAACUCAUAAGAGACUGAAUGAUAAAUCAUAAUGUAAGUUUAAAAUUUUGCAGUUAGAAAUGUGAGACAGUAAACUUCUUGGAGGGAGGGGUAGAGGGCUGGCUACUAAUGUUUGCUGUGCCCUUACACUAUGGAUGUACUAUCCACUAUGUGAGGCAUUUUGUAUGUGUCAUUAUAUUUAAUACAAGUCUAUUUUUAUAUUGUUUAAAUAAGGAAACUGAGGCUCAGACUAACUUGCUCUAUAACUAAUAAGUGACAGAAAACGGAUUUUAAUCCAGAUUUUCCUGCUUGAAGUGGCCUUAUUCUGGUCACUGUGUAGGUUGGAGGCAAGGUAGGCUAGAGAAGAAGAGAAAGACACUGAGAAAAAUACAACUAUAUCUAUCCACAGUGCCAAGCCCAUAUCUUAUACAUAAGUGCUCAAAUAUAAUUAAGAAACAAAUGUAUAAUAAAUAAAAUAUAGCUUCCA
ensembl:lncRNA